rnacentral:rRNA from 1 species
GUGCCAGCCGCUGCGGUAAUACGUAGGGUGCAAGCGUUGUCCGGAAUUAUUGGGCGUAAAGAGCUCGUAGGCGGUUUGUCGCGUCUGCUGUGAAAACUCGGGGCUCAACUCCGAGCUUGCAGUGGGUACGGGCAGACUAGAGUGCGGUAGGGGAGACUGGAAUUCCUGGUGUAGCGGUGGAAUGCGCAGAUAUCAGGAGGAACACCGGUGGCGAAGGCGGGUCUCUGGGCCGUAACUGACGCUGAGGAGCGAAAGCAUGGGGAGCGAACAGGAUUAGAUACCCUGGUAGUCCAUGCCGUAAACGUUGGGCGCUAGGUGUGGGGGCUCUUUCCACGAGUUCUGUGCCGCAGCUAACGCAUUAAGCGCCCCGCCUGGGGAGUACGGCCGCAAGGCUAAAACUCAAAGGAAUUGACGGGGCCCGCACAAGCGGCGGAGCAUGCGGAUUAAUUCGAUGCAACG